GGGGACGUUUUGGAUUUGACAGGAUGUUUGGUGAAAAUAGGUUGCGUGUCCGAGCGCUGUUCUCGGUAAUCAACGAGCAAAACAAAUUAAAUGCUGACAAUGUAAUUAAAGCAGACUUCCCUAGAGCAGCAGCUUUAGCAGCGUAGUUUGUAACAGCUACUCAUAGAGCCCAGCUUGCCGGCUUUAUGGGUCCAUUAUGCAAGACGCAGUGCGUUGAUACAAAGUAGACGUAUCAAGAUAACUUUGUAGGGUUUAGAGUUUCCCGCAAAUAAAACCUAGGGCUAAUUUAGAGGGUUUAGUUACUUUCCUGAAUUAGUCGAGAGAAUAAGUAACUACACACGUAGAUAUCUGUUUUGAUCCAUUUUGGACGUGGGUUCGACUCCCACCGUCUCCAGAU
rnacentral:tmRNA from 1 species